rnacentral:rRNA from 1 species
UCGGACGGGUGAGUAACGCGUGAGAAUCUGGCUUAAGGACGGGGAUAACCACUGGAAACGGUGGCUAAGACCCGAUAUGCCGAGAGGUGAAAGUAAUUUAGCCUUGAGGGGAGCUCGCGUCUGAUUAGCUAGUUGGUGGGGUAAGAGCCUACCAAGGCGACGAUCAGUAGCUGGUCUGAGAGGAUGAUCAGCCACACUGGGACUGAGACACGGCCCAGACUCCUACGGGAGGCAGCAGUGGGGAAUUUUCCGCAAUGGGCGAAAGCCUGACGGAGCAAUACCGCGUGGGGGAGGAAGGCUCUUGGGUUGUAAACUCCUUUUCUCAGGGAAGAAAAAAAUGACGGUACCUGAGGAAUCAGCAUCGGCUAACUCCGUGCCAGCAGCCGCGGUAAUACGGAGGAUGCAAGCGUUAUCCGGAAUCAUUGGGCGUAAAGCGUCCGCAGGUGGCAUUUCAAGUCUGCUGUCAAAGGUCGGGGCUUAACUCCGAACAGGCAGUGGAAACUGAGAAGCUAGAGUAUGGUAGGGGCAGAGGGAAUUCCUGGUGUAGCGGUGAAAUGCGUAGAGAUCAGGAAGAACACCGGUGGCGAAAGCGCUCUGCUAGGCCAUAACUGACGCUCAGGGACGAAAGCUAGGGGAGCGAAUGGGAUUAGAUACCCCCAGUAGUCACG